UGUUAUGGCGGCUGUGCGCGGGAGACCUUCGGGUCUGCCGGUUUUGAUGGGAUAUCGGUUUUCCAAACCGCGCAUGGCUGCCACCCCU
rnacentral:antisense_RNA from 2 species